CACAUCAUACACCAACCUGGAUUGGAGGAAUGCUUGAGAUUGCAGCAUAAAAUCUAAAAUUCCAGGAGCACAUGGAGACUUUGUGUUGGGAUGUUGGGGGAUCCUGCCUUACACCAGAUGCUAUGUUAUGGUCUGUGGAGAUGGGAAGGCAUUGGGGCGUGUUCCUGACCUUCCGGCUGUUCUCCUGACCACCUUUGGCCGGGUGCUUCUCAAAGUGUGAGUCACAGUUCAACAGCCACAGCAUCACCUGGGAUGGUGUGAGAAAUGCAGAACUGUAGGUCCCACCCCAGACCGGUGGGAUCCCAGGUGAUCCAUAUGCACUCUUGAGUCUGAGAAUCCCUGCUGUAGACCCCUUUCCCAUGCAGUUAUUUCUCUCUUCUGCUUUACAGUCAUUGGUUGCACCCAAAACAUGGCCUGGACACAAGAGGUGGCAACUUGGAGAUGUCCAAGUGUCUCCUCUCAGGGCUUGUGACACAACCUCUCUGCAGAAGUUUUGGCUGGGCAGGGCAGAGGGCAGAGUUGCUGAUCAGCAGAGGGAGAGGUCUCGAGGGUGCCUAACUGACCUGGGGAAAGACUGAGGCCAAUUAGAAACGUCUAAGAAACGCCUCACAGUCCCUGUUUGGAACGUGCUUUAUCUACGAGUUAGGAAGACCGUCCAAGAAAAAUAUGCUUACGUGUACAUUGUACUUUUCCUGUUUUUAUUCCAAGGAAGGGCUUGGUUCCCAGAUUUCCUCUCUGGGGUAAUUCUUGCAACAUCAUUCUCUACUCUCUUCACCUUUAAACUACAUUCCAGGUAUGGCAGAAACUACUCGAAUCAUCAUCCUUUAAGACCCAGAGUCUAGGAAGGGAAGGGGAACUUGGGGGUACUCAAAGGGUGUCCUGUUUGUUCUCUGGCCAUGGCAGUUUAUGUGCCUCCAGCCUCUCUGUAGUUUGGGGGAAAGGGGAAGGAGACACGGAGCUCCGGCUACUGCUGGCCUCCCCCUCCUACCCCACCCCAGCAGACCUUCUUUCCACCCAAAUCAUAUUUUUCCAGGACCUCUGGAGGACCCACCACCUCUAUGGAUCUCUGUUCUGGCCUCUGCUGCUCCAGUCUCUACGUAUUUCUUCCCUCCGUGCAGCCACCAUGACUUUCAUAGAAUACGCAUCUUACUUUUCCAGUUCUUCAACAACUCCUUAUCACCUUCAGGAGAAAACCCCCUGGAGGGCUUUAUAUGUCCCUCAGGAUGGGGCUUCUUGCUUUUUCUUCAGCCUAAUCUCAUUUCACCCCUCUGCAACAAUGUGUAUCGUUAUCACACUGAACAACUGGAGCCUCCUCAGAUAAACCAAAUUCUCUCCUUCUUUUGCACAUGCCACUUCUUUUACCUGUCCUACCCUUACUUUUAUCCUGAAAUCACACCUCACCUCCUUUAAGAUUCAAUUUAGGAACAAACCGCUUUCUCUGAAAAGCCUUCCCUGCUAUGCCUCCCUCUCUUAAAAUCCAUGUUUUGUGUUUCUUUUCUGAGCUUAAGUGGCAAACCUAGCAGAACGUUUAUUGCAUUCUGUAUUUAAAACAUUUUGAAGCCUUUAUGACUUUGUUAUACAAAUAUGUGUUCAUUAUAAAAGCAUUACAAUAUACUUACACAAAAAAGGGAAAAUGAUGACCUGUUAUCAAUUUAUAUUAGUCGGUGUUCAACCAGGAAAAGAGAAGCCACUCUGUGCUCUCCCAGUAUGAAGAGAAGCAAAAUGAGGAAUUAGAGGCUUACAACCCUGCUGGAUGGGAUGUGGCAGCAAAGAUCAGGGAAGCUGCCCUGAGGAUCUCAGCCUGGAACACCCAAGGGGCUGUCAAAGACCUUGCCUGGAAGCCACUCUACUGCAGAUCUCGAGAACUUCUGGAAAAUUCCCACCCAGGAAACACACCCAGAUGCUGUUUGGGACUUCUCAUGUCCGAUGUAUCUGCCUACCUCUUGAGAAUAAUGGCCUUUCCUCUUUUUCAACUUCCAAAUCUCAUGAAAGUGUCUCUCCCUGGCACUCAAAAUACAUUGGGAAGUGAAUUUUGUUGUACUGCCUUUCAUGUAUGUGUGUGUGUGUGUGUGUGUGUGUGUGUAAGUGAAUGAUAUGCAAAUACACCUCUCUCUAAUGUGCUCACUCUAUCUGUGUGCCUAUAUGCAUUUCUCCCCUCUGGCUCCUUGAAGGUUUAAUGAGCUUGCUUCUCUACUUUUUAAACAAGGAUUCCCAGCACUGGUUUGAUGACACCCUGGAGUGUCUUCAUUUAUCUCAGGGGGUGCCUUGAAAUUCACAAAACAAGAUUAAUUUAAAUUCAUUUUCAUUUAAAAAA